rnacentral:rRNA from 1 species
UACGUAGGGCGCAAGCGUUGUCCGGAAUUAUUGGGCGUAAAGAGCUCGUAGGCGGCCUGUUACGUCUGCUGUGAAAUCCCGGGGCUUAACCCCGGGCGUGCAGUGGAUACGGGCAGGCUGGAGGCAGGCAGGGGAGAACGGAAUUCCCGGUGUAGCGGUGAAAUACGCAGAUAUCGGGAGGAACACCGGUGGCGAAGGCGGUUCUCUGGGCCUGUACUGACGCUGAGGAGCGAAAGCGUGGGGAGCGAACAGG